rnacentral:rRNA from 1 species
CCUACGGGUGACAGCAGUGAGGAAUAUUGGUCAAUGGACGAGAGUCUGAACCAGCCAAGUAGCGUGAAGGAUGACUGCCCUAUGGGUUGUAAACUUCUUUUAUAAAGGAAUAAAACGAGGCACGUGUGCCUUUUUGCAUGUACUUUAUGAAUAAGGAUCGGCUAACUCCGUGCCAGCAGCCGCGGUAAUACGGAGGAUCCGAGCGUUAUCCGGAUUUAUUGGGUUUAAAGGGAGCGUAGAUGGGUUGUUAAGUCAGUUGUGAAAUUUUGCGGCUCAACCGUAAAAUUGCAAUUGAAACUGGCAGUCUUGAGUACAGUUGAGGUAGGCGGAAUUCGUGGUGUAGCGGUGAAAUGCUUAGAUAUCACGAAGAACCCCGAUUGCGAAGGCAGCUUACUAUACUGUUACUGACAUUGAUGCUCGAAAGUGUGGGUAUCAAACAGGAUUAGAUACCCCAGUAGUC